rnacentral:rRNA from 1 species
AACCUGGUUGAUCCUGCCAGUAGUCAUAUGCUUGUCUCAAAGAUUAAGCCAUGCAUGUGUAAGCACACACUGUUUUAAAAGUGAAGCCGCGAAUGGCUCAUUACAACAGCCACAGUUUAUUAGAACUUACAAUCAUGGAUAACUGUGGUAAUUCUAGAGCUAAUACACGCACAAAAACUUCAACUGAAUUGGUUGAAGUGCUUUUAUUGGAACAAAAACCGAACGGCGUUUGGCGAAUGUUGAACGUCGAAACUGUUUGGUGAAUCUGAAUAACUAUUUCUGAUCGCAUGGUCUAGCACCGGCGACAUCACUUUCAAGUGUCUGCCUUAUCAACCUUCGAUGGUAGUCUAUGCGACUACCAUGGUGAUAACGGGUAACGGAGAAUCAGGGUUCGACUCCGGAGAGGGAGCCUGAGAAACGGCUACCACAUCCAAGGAAGGCAGCAGGCGCGCAAAUUACCCACUCCCAGCUUGGGGAGGUAGUGACGAAAAAUAACGAGACGAUUCUCGUUUGAGAAACGUUAUCGAAAUGAGUACGCUUUACACACGCUAACGAGUAGCAAUUGGAGGGCAAGUCUGGUGCCAGCAGCCGCGGUAAUUCCAGCUCCAAUAGCGUAUAUUAAAGUUGCUGCGGUUAAAACGCUCGUAGUUGAAUUGUGGUCUUAGACAACAGUCCCCCUACAUAGGUGUGGCACGGUUGCUCGAGAUCUUCAUUCGUGGUUGCUGUUGUUGCUCUUCAUUGAGUGUCAAUGGUGCCUCGAGAUUUUACUUUGAAAAAAUUAGAGUGCUCAAAGCAGGUUGUGAUGCCUGAAUAAUGGUGCAUGGAAUAAUAGAAUACGAUCUCGGUUCUAUUUUGUUGGUUUUCGAACCGGAGAUAAUGAUUGAAAGGAACAGACGGGGGCAUUCGUAUUGCUGCGUUAGAGGUGAAAUUCUUGGAUCGCAGCAAGAUGAACAAUUGCGAAAGCAUUUGCCAAGAAUGUUUUCAUUAAUCAAGAACGAAAGUUAGAGGUUCGAAGGCGAUCAGAUACCGCCCUAGUUCUAACGGUAAACUAUGCCAACCAGCGAUUCGCCGAAGUUCAUUUAAGACUCGGCGAGCAGCUUCCGGGAAACCAAAGUGUUUCGGUUCCGGGGGAAGUAUGGUUGCAAAGCUGAAACUUAAAGGAAUUGACGGAAGGGCACCACCAGGAGUGGAGCCUGCGGCUUAAUUUGACUCAACACGGGAAAACUCACCCGGCCCGGACACUGGAAGGAUUGACAGAUUGACAGCUCUUUCUUGAUUCAGUGGGUAGUGGUGCAUGGCCGUUCUUAGUUGGUGGAGCGAUUUGUCUGGUUAAUUCCGAUAACGAACGAGACUCUACCCUAUUAAAUAGUGACAGUAUUGUAUUUAUUGUGCUGAUCACUUCUUAGAGGGACUGGCAAAUUGAAAGCUGCACGAAAAAGAGCAAUAACAGGUCUGUGAUGCCCUUCGAUGUCCGGGGCUGCACGCGCGCUACAAUGAAAGCGUCAACGUGAGUUACGUCCUUACCUGAAAAGGUUCGGCAAUCGAAUGAAACGUUUUCUUGAAUGGAAUAGGGAAUUGCAAUUGUUUCCCUUGAACGAGGAAUUCCCAGUAAGCGUGAGUCAUUAGCUCGCGUUGAUUACGUCCCUGCCCUUUGUACACACCGCCCGUCGCUACUACCGAUUGGAUGAUUUAGUGAGGUGUUUUGACUGGCGCCAGUAGUCGGAUGUAUUCGGCUUCGCGCCGGGAAAUUUCCCAAACCAAAUCAUCUAGAGAAAGUAAAAGUCGUAACAAGGUUUCCGUAGGUGAACCUGCGGAAGGAUCAUUA